AGCAAGUGCCGUCUGAGCU
rnacentral:snRNA from 1 species